UCCCUCACGCCAGGCUCCAGCCCACCGCCGCACGUUAGCCAAGGUCCUACGGGCUGCUGGCAGCGGGCCGCCCCCGCCGCCCGGCCCGGCCCGGCCCCGCGCAGCGCAGCGCAGCGCGGCGCGGCGGCGCCCGGGCGCCUCCACCUGCGGCGCGGGGCCGCGGCCCGGCCCGGCCCGGCCCGGCCCCCCCGGCCCGGCCCGCCGCCAGCGGGGCCCGGCUCCCCGCGCCGCGCCGCGGAGGCGCUGCCGCAGCCGGCCCUGCCCGGCGCCGCGAGCCGGCAGCCGCGACCGAGCGGCGGCGCUUCCCCGGAGGGGCGAGCGGCUACCGCGGAGCGCGGGCAGCCCCCGGGCCUGGUGCGGCUCGGCUUCCGAAAGCGCAGCCGUGCUGCGGCUCGUCUGCAGGCAGCCCUCUCGGUACAGCUGCAGGGCUGCUCACCCACCGAGGCGGUCUUUAAUCAUGCUGCCCUCUACGAGAUUCCUAGGCUUCCUACUGCAAGUCUGAGCAGACGCCUCACACGACAGCUUUCGCCGCAUCCCCUCUCGAGGCUGCUGGGCAGCAGCUCUGUAAAAUCCUCUACCUUUGCGCUAGAGCUUCCGCGGAUGUCGCAGGCUGUCUCCGAGUCUGCACAAGAGCAACACACCGAAGAAGGGCCACUCUCCCUGCCACCGAGGUUUCUCACCCGCCCGGGGAAGCGCCUCCUCCAUCGCUAGGAACAGAGUGCCCUCUGCCGAGAGCAGCCUGCCGAGGGAGCGCCGGGGCAGCGCGGCCGGGCGGCGCCCCCGGGCAGCGCUCCCGCCCCGCGCCCGUCCCGCGGCUCCCGGCCGCCCCGGCGGCGCGCAGCACCCGCCCGGCUCGGCUCGGCUCCCUCCACCCCGCCAGCGCCGCACCGCGCGCUGCCCGGCUCGCCCCGGUUUGUGCAUUAUCAUGGUAAUAGCCUGUGCAGCAAGUCAGAGUACUGCUAAGGGCCUGAUCUUUUCCUUUUUUAAUAGUAGUCAGCUGAUACAGGUCGAAGUUAAGUACACUCAUCUUCUGAAAACCUUUGUUUUCCACCCAUUUCAACUGCUAAAGUUACAGAAGCUACAUAGUCCUUUGUGACUUCAGUCAGGCCCAUGCAAUUCUCCAUCUUCAGAUAAGAUACACAGGUGCAAUCAGCAUAUACUUCAGACUCGAUUACAUUAUACAAGUGGGUUUAAAACUGGAAUUUAGCCAUUAGGUCUACUAUAAAAUCUCAAGUUUCCUGUCCCCAAAAUAUGCAUGGUAGCACUACAGGACAAAAACAAAAGACACCCACAACAGAAUGAUAUUGACCCUAAAGACCUGACAGCUAGUUAGGAACGUGCAGUUUGCACGAUCUCUGUUUAGAAUAGCACUUCUCUUUAAACAAUUAUUUAGCCCUCUUAAAAUUCAAAAAUCUCCCCUGGAUCCCUAAAACAAGGGCUGCAGAGUGGACAUUAGUUUGUUAGAUAGGCAUAUUUAGAAAAACGUACCUCUGCAGGUGCCUGUUUGUUCCUAGUAGUGACAUUAGCCAGCGAUUACAUGGCAAGGUUUGGCCCUGAAGUUCUAACAGAGUUUUCCAAAUUUGUUUCCUUGUUUUGCCCUUUUUCAGCACUACUCAGUGUUCUACUUUCUCCUUGCAGCUUACUCAGAUUCCUCCCCACAAUGCCUAAGUCACUGCUCCGGGUAGAGCUCUACAUCAUUUGGCUGUGUGAAUCCCUUUUCUCAGGUACAGUGAUGCUAUAAAUCUGCGAACCACAAAGAAUAAUCAAACAUCAGAAUGAGAGUCUUAAACAUUUGUACUUCUGCAAAAAAAUCUGUGGAAAGAAUAACAGGCAGGAGCAUAGGCUAGACAGCUCGUAUGAGUAAACAAAUUCAUCAAGUUCAGUGAGGCUGCUGAUGCCUCUCAUACACACAUAAUUCCUUGCAUGAUCUUGGCUUUAGGUUACAGAGUCUACAUCUGAAUUUAUAGCAUGUUUAAAAACAGACGUUAACACCUGCGAGCAUUAUCCACUAGUAAGAUCUUAAGAAAGCAGCAUUACAAUAAAUAAUGCUAGUACAUUAUGGAUUGGUAUUUGAUAAACCUACCUGUGAAAAUUAACAGUGAUAAGACAAAUGUCUUGCCCAAGCCACUCAAAUGAUGGCAUUGCUGAUCCCAUUCUCCCCCACCAUCUAAGGUCUGGUUGUGCUUCUAUUACGCUGAAAUCUUCCUUUUUGUGAGGAAGAUGAGUACCCAGGAAAUAACAGUAUUUGGAACAUAAAAGUAACCUAGGCAUACUGCUUUAAAUUCAGCAGUUUUCUGACAGUUUUUAACAGGGCAUUUUCUUAUGUGAAGCUCCUUCCCACCCAACACCAAUUUGUUACCUCCUUUACUCAGUUGCUUCUCAGCCUCAUUUAGCCCUCUGCCUCUUUCUACACACAUUAUUGCUCUCCUGACUUCCAGUGAACCUGGAAGCUUGGGGAUUUUGACUCUUACUGGGGAUCCUUUGGCUACCUCCUUCUGCUGAGCCAAGAACAAAACCUGGCUGAAACCUAGAGCUCUGGGCUUGACCUGUUUGACAGCAACAGGUACAGAACUCCCAGCCCCUGCAGCUCCACGGCAGACUCCUGCAAUAUAUACCCUGAAGUUAAAGGCCAGGAGCUUCCAGGUUCUGGAAGCCAAACUUUCAUCCCUGGAGAAGCUCGUCAGGAAUCCUGGAAAAACUGAUUGAACAUUGCAGUUCAAAAUAAAAUCACCAUUUUCUAAGGAAACAUUACUUCCUUUCUGCCCACUCUGUCUUGACUGCACGGAGCAAACUCCUCAAGGCAGAGACUAUCAUUCUACAUCUAUUAUACUGUGCUUGUACAACUCCUCAUCCAGUGUCAAGUCCUUAGGCAUUACCUUGUCUGUGUGAUGAAACUGCUAUUAAUCUUCUACCUCAAUUUCUAAUUCCCAGUUUGCCACAUUAGUUUUGCAGAGUUGAUACAGGAUUUCUGAAUGAGAAGCUCUAGUGAUAGUCUUUACAGUCAGAGUUCACAUGCAUAAUUCCUAUAUUUAUCUCUUGUCAUGAGUAAUUUUUUUAUUACACAUAUGCUUUUCCUUCACUGAACUCUAAAAUUCACAUCAUUUAGGUGCUUUAAAUGACAAUUGUAAAGCCCUUACUGUUCAUAAAAUUGGGAAAUAUGGACAUUUACACUUAUUUCUUUGAACAUAAUCAUGAUCUUGUCCACCCAUAUAGUUGGCAUGGUGUCUCAUGAGGAAGCCAGCUGGAAAUGCAAUUACCUUAUCCUUUGUUUUAUACUGACUUAAGACCAUGUGCCUUCACUAUUGAAAGUAACUAUGAAAUAUGUUCUCAUUUUUCAUUCAAUUUCAACAGAAAUUUCCAACCAACUCAGUGUAAACAGAAAAAAGAGGAAAAAGAUCCUGUGAGAUACAGUAAGCGCAAAAAUGAAGAAAAUUAAAUCUCUGGUCUGGUAAACAGAAAACUCUGUUCAGUCACAAGACAACCAUCAGAUUUCACUCUUAGAGAAUACUAUCACGAGACCUUCACAUCUAGGAAAAAGUAUGUGUCUUUAUCUUUGCCCUGAAAGGCAGGUGCACAGUCCUCCUGAGCAGACUCCACUUCUAUAUAAAUACUCUCUCAAAGCAAGCUCAGCUAAGCCAGUCUGAUGAUCAUGAAGACCAUUUUUUCAUUAUAAUGGAAGUCUACACUACUUAGGGAGAAAUGUUUGGCUAAACUACAAAUUUAAAAUCUACUGAAACACUGCAGAAUAACAUUUGGCUCAUAAAUCAGGAUUAAGACUAAUACCAAAGCUGGAGGUAUCCUGCCAAGGCCCCAUGCAGAAACUGAAUUUUGGUUUGAGACCUCAGAGUUAUCAGUAACAGAGCUGCACCUGAUUGACUAAUAAAAGGAAAAUGUUAAAUUUCCUGUAACUAGAGCCAUGAGAUCCCUGACACAGUAUAAUCAGUUCUUUGGCCCUGCACUGUAUUUGUACAGGGUGCUUGUUUACUUUGAAAUAACAAGCUCUCUGGGGUGGAGAGCAAGCAUGCACUGUCACACUUCACAAAUACGUUAUACUCUAUAAAGCGUAAAACUUGUCGGUAUAAAGGUAUAAAGUUCAACUGCAGUACUGCACCUUUGAUUUCUUGGAGUCAUGGAACCCCCUGUGCUCCAUGUUGAUCCUUACCCCAGGCUUUGGAAAACAGCUCCAUCAGUAAGUGAGGGGGGAAAAAAAGAACUCUGGUAGCUUAUAGAGCAAAACACACUGCUUACAUGUAAAUAUCUACAUGUUAUAGAAGACAACUGCUGUUUUUCUCUCAGUUUGUUUAAAAAUGAAUCUUACAUCAACCCACACAAUAUGCACAAAUGGUCACCAUUUCAAAUACUUGAAUAUUUGUCCAUUCUUGUAUCUCAAAUUCCUUUUUAUCCGUAAGCAAAACCUAUGGCUCAUUUGCAUACUUAUGAUCCUGUACAGCAGUAGUAGAUGCAUUAAAUUUCAUGACUGCUCUUUCCAGAAUAAACACAUCUUGAUUCAAAUGUCAUAUACUUGCUUCUUAUUGUAGUUCAGUGCUCAUAGACCUAACUAAAAUGUUAGAAAUUACAUUUCAAGAUCAAUUCAUAACAUUUACAUGAUCAUUAUGUGGCAAAGCUAUGCCCAGAUAGAUUCAGGUGAUUGUGUGCACAACUUAAAUAUGAACUUGUAUCAGUGAAGAUCUGAAUGCAGAUAAGGCAAAAUGAAAAGUAUUGCAGAUGCAAAGUAUCUUAGCUUUGUUUACACAUAACUGCAUUAAGAGAUUUUUUCUUUUUAUGGUUUGGGGGGGAAAAAGUACAUUCCCCUUCCUCACUCCUCCCCAGGGCUGGAUAUAUCAAGUUUCUAUUCAUGAACCUACUUACAACUUUCUUCUCAUGCAACAGUAGCAGUGAUCUAUUUUCUGAGUCUUUGAUGCCUCUUACUUCUGUGAUUUAAGAAUAAAAUGUUCUUGAGAACACCAGUGUCAUGUGAAGCAUGCAACAUUUGGUAAAUAAAGAGGAGCUCUGAGGAAA